rnacentral:rRNA from 1 species
AUAUCAAUAAGCGGAGGAAAAGAAACCAACAGGGAUUGCCCUAGUAACGGCGAGUGAAGCGGCAACAGCUCAAAUUUGAAAUCUGGCCCUCGCGGCCCGAGUUGUAAUUUGCAGAGGAUGCUUUUGGCGCGGCGCCUUCCGAGUUCCCUGGAACGGGACGCCAGAGAGGGUGAGAGCCCCGUACGGUUGGACGCCUAGCCUAUAUAUAGCUCCUUCGACGAGUCGAGUAGUUUGGGAAUGCUGCUCUAAAUGGGAGGUAAAUUUCUUCUAAAGCUAAAUACCGGCCAGAGACCGAUAGCGCACAAGUAGAGUGAUCGAAAGAUGAAAAGCACUUUGAAAAGAGGGUUAAAUAGCACGUGAAAUUGUUGAAAGGGAAGCGUUUGCGACCAGACCUUCUCCGGGCGGAUCAUCCGGUGUUCUCACCGGUGCACUUCGCCCGGUCUAGGCCAGCAUCGGUUUCCUUAGGGGGAUAAAGGCCUGGGGAACGUAGCUCUCUAGGGAGUGUUAUAGCCCCUGGCGCAAUACCCCUCGGGGGACCGAGGACCGCGCUCUGCAAGGAUGCUGGCGUAAUGGUCGUCAACGACCCGUCUUGAAACACGGACCAAGGAGUCGAACAUUUGUGCGAGUGUUUGGGUGUCAAACCCUCACGCGUAAUGAAAGUGAACGGAGGUGAGAGCCCCCCGGGGUGCAUCAUCGACCGAUCCUGAAGUCUUCGGAUGGAUUUGAGUAAGAGCACAGCUGUUCGGACCCGAAAGAUGGUGAACUAUGCGUGGAUAGGGUGAAGCCAGAGGAAACUCUGGUGGAGGCUCGCAGCGGUUCUGACGUGCAAAUCGAUCGUCAAAUCUGCGCAUGGGGGCGAAAGACUUAUCGAACCAUCUAGUAGCUGGUACC